rnacentral:rRNA from 1 species
GACGAACGCUGGCGGCGUGCUUAACACAUGCAAGUCGAACGGUGAAGCGCCUUCCUUUUUGGUGGGUGUGGAUGAGUGGCGAACGGGUGAGUAACACGUGAGUAACCUGCCCCCUUCUUCUGGAUAACCGCAUGAAAGUGUGGCUAAUACGGGAUAUUCUGGGUCUGUCGCAUGAUGGGUCUGGGAAAGAUAUUGUUUCGGUGGGGGAUGGGCUCGCGGCCUAUCAGCUUGUUGGGGGGGUGAUGGCCUACCAAGGCGGGGACGGGUAGCCGGCCUGGGAGGGUGGACGGUCACACUGGGACUGAGACACGGCCCAGACUCCUACGGGGGGCAGCAGUGGGGAAUAUUGCACAAUGGGCGCAAGCCUGAUGCAGCGACGCCGCGUGAGGGAUGGAGGCCUUCGGGUUGUGAACCUCUUUCGCCAGUGAAGCAGGCCUGCCUCGUUUGUGGGUGGGUUGACGGUAGCUGGAUAAGAAGCGCCGGCUAACUACGUG